rnacentral:rRNA from 1 species
UCAGCAACGGAUCUCUUGGCUCUUGCAUCGAUGAAAAACGCAGCGAAAUGCGAUAAGUAAUGUGAAUUGCAAAAUUCAGUGAAUCAUCGAAUCUUUGAACGCAUCUUGCGCUCCUUGGUAUUCUGAGGAGCAUGCCUGUUUGAGUGUCAUUUCAA